rnacentral:lncRNA from 1 species
CUGCCCUCUGGUGGUGUAAUUUGAAAAGACACUAGUGAAGGCCGACUGAAGUGGGUGUCCUCAAAGGGCUGGGGCAGGAUUUCCAGGGUCCACAGGUCUUCUACAACUCUUCCAGAGGAACAGACCAGCCAGGGGCUGUGGGCACAGGAAGCUUUGGGCCUGUCCUUUCCCAGUGCGUCUUGUGUGGUCAGAGCCCAGGAGGACCUCAGCAGAGGAAAGACAGUUCAGGCUAUGACCACUCAGCGGCUGCUCCUUCUGCCA